AUGAAGGAUAAGAAGAAUAAUUCUAGUACCCAAAUUAGGAUAGAGUUAGCUUCCCGCGUUAAUCGCUAUGAUGAUUUUGUGAAGUAUGAUGAGGAUAAGACGAUCUUAGAUUAUGGCUUGGUUCAUAACAGUAAGAUUAAUAAUAAUAAUAAUGAUGUAGCGUUGCAGUAUAAUAAUAUGUAG